rnacentral:rRNA from 1 species
AGUCGAACGCUUCUUUUUCCACCGGAGCUUGCUCCACCGGAAAAAGAAGAGUGGCGAACGGGUGAGUAACACGUGGGUAACCUGCCCAUCAGAAGGGGAUAACACUUGGAAACAGGUGCUAAUACCGUAUAACAAUCAAAACCGCAUGGUUUUGAUUUGAAAGGCGCUUUCGGGUGUCGCUGAUGGAUGGACCCGCGGUGCAUUAGCUAGUUGGUGAGGUAACGGCUCACCAAGGCCACGAUGCAUAGCCGACCUGAGAGGGUGAUCGGCCACAUUGGGACUGAGACACGGCCCAAACUCCUACGGGAGGCAGCAGUAGGGAAUCUUCGGCAAUGGACGAAAGUCUGACCGAGCAACGCCGCGUGAGUGAAGAAGGUUUUCGGAUCGUAAAACUCUGUUGUUAGAGAAGAACAAGGAUGAGAGUAACUGUUCAUCCCUUGACGGUAUCUAACCAGAAAGCCACGGCUAACUACGUGCCAGCAGCCGCGGUAAUACGUAGGUGGCAAGCGUUGUCCGGAUUUAUUGGGCGUAAAGCGAGCGCAGGCGGUUUCUUAAGUCUGAUGUGAAAGCCCCCGGCUCAACCGGGGAGGGUCAUUGGAAACUGGGAGACUUGAGUGCAGAAGAGGAGAGUGGAAUUCCAUGU